GCUGGCCACAACUAAAUCUUCGGAGAGAGGGCGAGGCACCACCAAUCAGUUGUACCGCACUAAGAACUCGGCACAAACCAAACAACCAACCACUUGUACCUGACAACCAAUCAAGCACAAUACACAGACAAUACAAUUCAUCAGUGCAGCUAUUUAACUGGCCAGAUACAUAACAUGCCCAGGCAACACAACCAGUUGAGGACACACAACACAACUGCUUACUACCACACACACACAAAGCCACUACCGCCUCUGUCCACACACACCAUCCAAACCCACAAUCCAUACAUCAACACUUACUGUACUACGAUACUAUUACGCCCAGCCAAUACAGUUACACAAACCACCAACACUACAACACAUGGAGCCCUCAUCAAGGCUACACAGCCUGCCAUUAUUAUAACCCAGAGAUAGAAACAAUUCUCAUAUGACCAACACCCUUCCUUAUGCAGCUCAGAUACAUAAGCAUCCCACAGUCUUCUCCCUUGUAUACGAGUGCACCACACAACCCGUACCCCCAAGUAGCCAGCCAUUACAGGACAGCAUUGGGGAGUGGGGGGGUUAUACUCUCCUACCAGUGGGAGAGGCUUCAUUCACUAUUUACCUCUCGCAGAUUAAUCCGUAAUCCCUUUUUAAUUGAUUUGCAGUGGCGAUGCGAUUGUGGCGAAUGUCUUCUUGUGUUUUUUUUUUCUUUUUUUUCUCUCUCUCUCUCCCAGUGCUUUGUGUGCGGGGGUUGUUGUUUGUGCGAGAGUUUGGUUGUCAUGGCACGUGACCGUAUGCCCCAGUGCCUGCUGGGAAGCCUCCGUGAGCUUGGCUGUUUUUUUUGGAGAGGAUGAUUCUCAGCUGUCUGUUUCGGUGACUGCGAAGAGUACUCAGAGGAUGCGGUGGCAGCGUCUGAACUAAAUGAAUGUACUUUUUCAAGCAGGGGAUGAUUGAGUGAAUGCCUCUGGACUGAAAUGAGAGUUGUCUUGCUUUUUUUUUACGCAGUAGAAGUGCAAGCAAUCUUGAUUAUUCUGAUAUUAGGCAGACGGACUGAAGGUUUAUUUGUCAGUUUAAUGAUUACUCCUGGAGAAAGGGGAGUUUAAUUAGUUUGAUGAGAAAGACGUGACUGUGUCACUAAAGCGCUACACGAACGCUACGAUGCUGCUCACGCGUGACUGAUUGGU
ensembl:lncRNA